CCAGAUAUAACCUCUACAUAAGAAUCAUUUCUAUGUAUAACUGGAUGCGUUACACAAGUGAGAAGAAGUUAUCUAUUUUGACGAAUCAUCAGUGAUGUCAAUCGGGAAUAAAGCACGACCCACAUCGUCAGAGUUAAAGAAGCCUGGGUCAGUCGUGGUCGGUAGAAAACAAUCAGCGAUUGCGACGCCUAUCAAAUACGAAGCUGCGCAAAUUCCCGUUCCGAAAGCGUCUUCUAUAAAUUACGAUCUGGAAAAAGCCAUGCAAAAGAAUCCGGAAAAUGAUAAAGUCGGCGUUAUUGUUGAGAUUCCAGAAAGGUCCAUGCGUGAAAUGUUACCAGUUAUUCUAACCUUUUUUUGCAUCCUGACCUGUUUGGUCCCGAUCGACAUUUUUCUGGCACUUAGUGUUAUGAACUAUAAGGAUCCCGUUCCACAGCAGGUCACGCAGGCCAUCACGUCAUCCGAAUCCCAAGUAGAAGCCCAUCUGUUGAAAAAGCGCUCGUAUGAUCUCGAAGCCCUUGGAGCAGACUCGAAUAAAAACGUAUCGACCUCACCGGAGAACUGGUGCGAGCGCAGCGCCGAAAUUAGUUCUAACGUUUUCACCAUCACAUAUGAUCUUGGCAAAGUACAAAGGUUCCUCGAUAGGCCACUCAUCUAUGCGAUGGUUUACUCGAUCAAGCUGACAAUACGGGUUCCGCUGGCCGUACUGAGAAGCGGCUCGUAUGUGAACGCGUUUAUCUUGCCACAGACGAUCCCACCAGAAGCCUAUGUGUUUAACCUCACCAACUACGAAUUAAAUGCGCAAACAUUACGUUUUACAAAGCUUGAAAGCUUCGAUGCUUCUAAGUACGGAACAUGACUUUCCAGCACCGGGAACACUCCUGACAAAGAGUUUCUUAAGCUAUUCAAGUUUGGAGCGACUUGGACACUUCGACCUUGUGAGUCUCAACGAAGGAUUCACAUUCUACAAGUUAUACACGGUCAAUUUUGUGAUGGAUUUCGGCUUUCGGAGAUUGCGGAUAGAGACAUGUGGCCGGCCGCAUCAGUGUAAAGUUCAACAUGAUAAGCAUAUCACGGUGGCAAAUGACAGUUCGGGCUCGGUUCUGGCCAUCCGCGUAGUAAAUCAACUAAACGACGUUACUGUGCACGCUGACGGUAAUUACGCAAGGAUCGAAGACAGGGUCUGCUGUCAAGUAUAUUUGAAAACUUCUUAUCUAAAGCGGACGAAGCUAUGCCAAACAAACAACACUAGCGAAGACAUCGUUUGUAACGAUGCAACUACAGAUCCAGCAUGUAGAUCAUACGUGCAGUGAUUUACUGCUGGUAAAAAAAACACAAUGAUUAAUUUAAUUAAAUGUAAGGCAUAUUAGCAUUGCACGUACUCGUUUCGCUUACAUGCUUUAUAAUUGCGAAAUAAUCACACUCGUUACUGGCUUCCACUGAUUGCGAGGAGUUCAAAAGUAGGGAUUUUCAAGUAUACCGAAAUAUAGCGUUCCAUUUUUAAGGUCAGUUAAUAGUAACGUGUAGCGUAACAGUAAUAGUACAGAGACACGCUACGAACUAAAAAAUGUACGUUCCUUAAACAACCUAGGUAGUGUUUUCCUUUAAGGGAGUACAUUUAGGCAGAGAUCUCUCGAUGAUAAACCUAAGUUGAACGGCUCUGCUUUGCAUUGAACUCUGCAGAGGAGGUAUCUACUAAAAAGAAACUGCUGGAGUCCGCUCAGGAUCGUUCAUAUGCAAACGUGUAUCCUUUUUUGUUCAGUUGCCUAUUAUCGUAAUUGGCAAUCUGCGUGGUGUCAAAAAGUUACUCGUCGCAUCGUAGUCAGUGAUAUACAUUGCAGUGGCUUAUUAAAUUAUCAUUAUUCUAUUAUUAUUUUAACUGAAGUGAACUACUGCUUACUCUUGUCUCAAAUAGUGAUCCCCUGAUGGUUGCCUCGAGCUGGUAAAUCUAAUAAUGAAAAACCAAGACCAAGUUUAAAAUGAAUAUUAGCAAGAUAAUAGGGUUCUUACAAACGUAUCAAGGACAAAACACCAUAAUAUCGCUCCGGUAUAUAUAAUAGAGAUCAUAUAGAUACAUAUAGGUAAUCCGGUCACUCAAGUAAAUGAGUCUCGUGGUCAGAGGGAGCGUCCCAAAAUCAGCAAGUCCAGUCGGAUCAGUAUAUGAUAGACAAAGAACAAAUGAUAAACUGCCUUAUCAUUGGAAACGUGUAUCAAUUGGAAAAUGGCAUGUCAUCUAGUUAAUUUGAGUGAAGCUAGCUACGUCGAACUA